UACAGAGGGUGCGAGCGUUGUUCGGAAUUACUGGGCGUAAAGCGUGCGUAGGUGGUGAGUUAAGUCUGUCGUGAAAGCCCCCGGGCUCAACCUGGGAAUGGCGAUGGAUACUGGCUCGCUAGAGUGCGGUAGAGGAGAGUGGAAUUCCCGGUGUAGCGGUGAAAUGCGCAGAUAUCGGGAGGAACACCUGUGGCGAAAGCGGCGCACUGGACCACAACUGACGCUGAGGCGCGAAAGCUAGGGGAGCAAACAGG
rnacentral:rRNA from 1 species